rnacentral:rRNA from 1 species
CAGCAGCCGCGGUAAUACGCAGGUGGCAAGCGUUGUCCGGAAUUAUUGGGCGUAAAGGGCUCGCAGGCGGUUUCUUAAGUCUGAUGUGAAAGCCCCCGGCUCAACCGGGGAGGGUCAUUGGAAACUGGGAAACUUGAGUGCAGAAGAGGAGAGUGGAAUUCCACGUGUAGCGGUGAAAUGCGUAGAGAUGUGGAGGAACACCAGUGGCGAAGGCGACUCUCUGGUCUGUAACUGACGCUGAGGAGCGAAAGCGUGGGGAGCGAACAGGAUUAGAUACCCCUGUAGUCCCUGUCUCUUAUAC